rnacentral:lncRNA from 12 species
GGGUGGCGGUUCUCUGGAGAGCUAGCGGGGGGGUGGGUGAGUAGGCCGCAUCUUUGUGUUUCCUACCUUCCGAGGCCAGGCAGCCUUCCAGACCCCGGCAGCCGGAAGUGGGCAGCCGGAAGUGGGCAGCCGGAAGUGGGCAGCCGGAAGUGGCCGCUGAGACGGAGCCGCCAGAGCCCCGGCCUGACUCUUCACACAGGCUCCAGCCCCGUGUCUCAGGCUGUUCAGCAAAGUUGGCUGGCUGUGGAGCACAGUGGGAUAUCCUUCUCUCAAGAUCAACAGACUGGACUACAAGCACCAAGGUUUCAGAUUCACUGA